rnacentral:rRNA from 1 species
UACGAAGGGGGCUAGCGUUGUUCGGAAUCACUGGGCGUAAAGCGUAUGUAGGCGGAUUGUUAAGUCAGGGGUGAAAUCCCGAGGCUCAACCUCGGAACUGCCUUUGAUACUGGCUGUCUUGAGUCCGGGAGAGGUGAGUGGAACUCCUAGUGUAGCGGUGAAAUGCGCAGAUAUCAGGAAGAACACCGGUGGCGAAGGCGGGUCUCUGGGCCGAUAUCGACGCUGAGGAGCGAAAGCGUGGGGAGCGAACAGG